AAAACACACACACUCUUAAACUAUAUAGGAAGAAAGGUAUUGCCAUACUGGAUCAGACCAGGAGUUUAUCUAAUAAAGUAUCAUGUUUCUUAGAGUGGCUAGUAUGAAAGGCUUCAAAGAUAAGUGCCUCUGGCAUUGGCCACUGUCAGAAACGGGCUGCUGUUCUAGAUGGGCUAUGGGUCUGAUCUGAUUUGGAAAACUAAAUAUACAUGUAUACAGUUACUUCCCUAUUCCUUGCCAGAAACGACUCUCAUAAACAUUUUGAUCAGGUAAACAUUGAAGAAAAAAGUAAUUUGAACUGUGCAUGCCAUACCAGUUCAAGUCUCUGAACCAUGUACUGGAAAACAUUUACAAUACCCAUAUCUAGGAAUUAAUUUCAUAUACUUAGCCUAUUCCUUUUAAACAAAAGGCUGCUCAAGGCAGUAAGUCAUGCUUUUGUACAAAAUUUCUUGCCAAACUCUUCAUAAUGCUCUCCAAUUGCAAAAUUCUUCAUCCUUUUAAAGCUAACUCUUUUCUCAAGGCACAUUUGAUUCCAUCAGCAUUUGACAUUUAUGUUUUGUGCAUUAGAACAGCAUUUUACACGGUGAAUUAGUAAAUGGGAGAGUCAAAAGCCAGCUCACUGAACAGGUUUUACCCAUAUUAUAUGAAAAGGCAUGCAAUUUAAAAAACUCAUAAUUUGAUUGUAGGAGAUGUCAGAAAAUCAUUCUGACUCAACAUAAAACACAUCAGCUUGAAACAGAACACAUGUGUUCUCAAUGAUUUCUUUAUGCAGCCUGAUAAGUUACGGUUAAUAAGCUUUAUAUGAAUUGUUUAAUGCCAUGUUUUUAUAUAAAAGCUUUUCAAAAUGCUGAAAGUCCAAACCGGUGCUAACACAACUCUACUAUUAUGUGCAAGGGGCUUGACUGGUGACAGACAUUCCACGCAGCAUUAACCCUUAGUAAACUUGAGGGGAAAUAUCUACAGAAUUAAUGUUGACUCUGUUGAAUUUUGGGAUGAAUGUAUAGACAGGAAUGCAAAGAAAGAGGCCUGACACCUGCCAUUUUGCCACUAGAAUCUGGGGCAUACAAAAAAGAGUUUAAUUCUUCAUUGGAAGUUCUGGCCUAUAUUAUGCCACCAGAAGUAUAUAAUUUCUUGAGUUACAGCUGCCCACUCUGAGCACAUUCCCCUAUUAGAAGUGCUAAGACUAUUGAGGCCUCCAUACUAUGGGGCUUUCAGUGUACCUUUGUCUCUGCUACAGCUUUUUAUGUAGGAAGUCAUGGUUUUGAGCCUCAGUGAAUCUCUUUGUCUUUGGCUGAUCUUCUAACUUAAUUUAAUAUAUGUUAUUUAUAUAGCUCCUUAGCAUUUUUCAAACAAAAUCAUGAAACAAAAUCAUUUCACUCUGUGCUUGUACAUAAUAUAAGGAGUGGCAACAAAAAUAAUGGAGCUGAAAGGAGAUUUUAUCCAGUGGGUCAAAACAGGGUUAUGACCACAAGAUCAUUUGCUUGCUUUGGCUAGGUAUGUAUGCAUCUUAAUAGUUCUGCUUUUUAAAGUUUUUGUUUGUUUAUAAAGUUAGUUUCAAUGUGUUAGAUUCACUGGAGAAACCUUUCCUUAAUUUACUAUCAACACUAUUUUUUCAAUAUAUGUUGAAAUCUUUCUUUUUGUGGAUUCUAUUAUGUACUCCUGAGGGAAUUAUGCCCCCCAAAAUUAAAAAAAUGCACCAAAAUAUAAAAAUAUUGUGCACAAUAUUAUUUUAUUUGUCAAUAAGUAAAUAAAUAUGGAGGCUCCAGCAUGCAGUGGAGAGCGCUGAUCGCUGGCUGCACAGAGGAGGGAAAUCACUCUGAAAUAGCUUCUCCCCACUUCCAACCAGGACAGGGUUUCAGCAGUGAGGCUGCACUCAAUCCUAAGGCCAUGCCAGGGCCUGGCCCGUCCCAGAAACACCCUGGGGUCAUGCCCCUCCAUGCCAGGCACAUCGGGUGUGGUUUGGCAGGCUUACUCCAGCAGGAUCUAAAUAAGGAAGGGCUUAGUUUGGGGAGAUCCAGAUGUGAGGUGAAAGAGUUCUUUGUGGGGCAAUCUGGGUAUAAGUGGCUUGGUGGGGGAUUUGGAUGUGCAGGGGAGGGUUCUGUUUGCAGACGCAAUGGGUCCGCAUUAAAAUAGAUGGGGCUCAUUGGGGAGGUUUGAGUGGGGGACUCUGGAGGAGGUCUGGGUGCUGAGCAAGUGGGGCUUGGUGGGGUGGAAGUCUGGGUGCAGAGAGCUUAUCAGGUUGGUCCAUUGGCAGAAGGGGUGUAGGCUCAUCAGGGUAGGGGUUCGAUUGGCCUGGAUAAUAGGGGGUACCCUAGUUCCUGCUGCUGAGGGGGAAUCAGAUGCCAGGUUCUUGCUUCCCCUUUUCAUUUCCCAACCCCCCUUGCUCUGCCCCAAUGCAUACAUUCACCAUUGUACAGAAAACAGUAUGGUGACCACAUAGGGCACUCAGCAUAUGUAGAAGGCGAGGGCAACAGGGAUUAGGAGCAAGGAGGUGACCUUCAACUGCAGAGUCAGAAAGGUUCUCUCCUUUCCUCAGGCAGCUCUGUGUUCACAGAAUUGGGGGAAGGUGACAUGUGACCUGCAUGCACCCUAUGUCUCAUUUUUGUUUGUGGGGGGGGGCAAGUCCCUCCUAAACUAUGCCCAUAAGCACCCCCAUCCCUGUGGUGUUUACCUCUCCAUUAGCUGUUGGAAAGGAUGUGCUUGUGCUGCUGUGAGGACUAUGUGACUGCUUUUGUGUUUCCCAUUGUUUUCCUGUUAUUUUCUGCAGGGGACAUGAAUUACACACAGUGAAGCAGAAUUCCCCCAGAAGUUAUUCUUCUCUUGUGCUUGUAACUCUCAUCUAUGUUAACUGAAGUUAUUCAUGUACAGCACUGGGUAACAGUUAAUGCAGUGUCUAUUUCUAGCUUUUAGUUCAACAUUCAGAUGCAGACUUUUAUAUAUGUGAAUGAGAUACAAGUGCUGUUUCCUUAGCAGGAGUGGCUCGAGGAGAGCUGCCGGCAACUGGCACCUUAGGCGGAAUGCGCGAUCGGCGCCCUGCCUCCAUAGUCCUUAAUGGUGUGACGUCAUCAUUUGGGCGCUACAUUAAACACGGCGCCCUAGGCAACUGCCGAGGUUGCCUACAUCCACAGGCCGCCCCUGUUCCUUACAGGUCAUAAUUUUCUAGCAGUCUAAACACUAUGUAUUGAAAAAACAAACCUCUUUUGUUGUCACAUUUUUCCUGUACACAUUACACUAUCCAUUUCAUGGACAUCGUGAUAACCCUUAACUGCCCUUGUGCUGCAUUGAUAUCCAUUUAUCAUGAAGAAACAAUACUGAUUCCACGAUUAAGGCUGAAACAUUUCUUGUCAGACAUGUGAGGUUUGUAAAACAUGCUAGCUACACUAGAUUUAGUGGCGUUUUGACAGUUCAAGUUCCUGUGCCUUGAAAUUUGAGUCCUAAUUUUUCUUUAAUUCUAUUUGUUAUUUAUAUUUGCAGAAUUCCAGAGCCCUGCAGAUCUGAGAAUGUUGGUAGAUUAUAAAGCUCCUAAUCUCUGGUUUGCCACUGUGUUUUUUCCUACACUUUGAUAAGAUAAUUCCAGAUCUGCUAAAUUCCUUAGGCUAGACUGUAGUUUUAUCAAUAACCCUCAGUAAAAGGUGGCAAAUAGCUGUCCUCUGCCAAGAGCAGCACAGACAACAGAUUGUGACUAAGUCUCUCCUUGAUUCUGCACUAGCUCCCAUGAGAGAACUGACUGGUAUGUCCUCUUCUACCCAACUACAUGGAUGGAAGGACUAAUGAUUCUGCAGAAACUGUCCUUCUUUCAUUAACAAAAAGG